rnacentral:misc_RNA from 1 species
UCUGUCUUGUCGACUAGCGGUCUCAUUAGAGUGCCCAACUUAAUGGUAGCAACUAAUGACAAGGGUUGCGCUCGUUGCGGGACUUAACCCAACAUCUCACGACACGAGCUGACGACAGCCAUGCAGCACCUGUCACCGCGUCCCCGAAGGGAAUUCACCACUUUCAUGGAUAUGCGCGGGAUGUCAAACCUAGGUAAGGUUCUUCGCGUUGCGUCGAAUUAAACCACAUACUCCACCGCUUGUGCGGGCCCCCGUCAAUUUCUUUGAGUUUUAAUCUUGCGACCGUACUUCCCAGGCGGGGUACUUAAUGCGUUAGCGACGACACUGAAAAGAUAAGGCUUUCCAGCAUCUAGUACCCAUCGUUUACGGCGUGGACUAC